GGGCCCGCACAAGCGGUGGAGUAUGUGGUUUAAUUCGAUGCAACGCGAAGAACCUUACCAGGGUUUGACAUCCUGCGAAUCUCUUGGAAACAGGAGAGUGCCUUCGGGAACGCAGUGACAGGUGGUGCAUGGCUGUCGUCAGCUCGUGUCGUGAGAUGUUCGGUUAAGUCCGGCAACGAGCGCAACCCUCGUUUCCAGUUGCCAGCGGGUAAUGCCGGGGACUCUGGAAAGACAAACCUCUUGUUGAGGUGGGAAGGUGGGGACGACGUCAAGUCAGUAUGGCCCUUACGACCAGGGCUGCACACGUGCUACAAUGCCCGGCACAAUGGGAUGCAAUAUCGCGAGAUUGAGCAAAUCCACAAAACCGGGCCCAGUUCGGAUUGGAGUCUGCAACUCGACUCCAUGAAGUUGGAAUCGCUAGUAAUGGC
rnacentral:rRNA from 1 species